CAACCGAUAGAGCUGGCAAGGGCGGUCGGCUAACUCUCCCGAGGAGGGGGGUGAAGCCUGUGACAGUGUUUGAGGCGCUCAGUUUAAUGCUGACGUUCGGGGCGUUAAUCGUCACACUGUUAGAGUUUAACAAACGAAAAUAGACCGCCCCCGCAAGGAAGGGUCUAUUUUCGGCCUGAUUGUUCCAAAACCGUCCGCUCUUGGAGCGUUGGUUGCGCAGGGGCUGGCUGGCACCAGCCCUU
rnacentral:sRNA from 1 species